rnacentral:lncRNA from 1 species
UCACCAAGCAUUUGCAGAGAACAAACAGACAAUACAUAAUUUUGGAGCAGAUUUAUUUUUUCCAUGAUCUUUGCUCUCUUUUAAUAAGCAAUCUGUUGUGUAUGUUAGCUUAAAAUAAAAUCAAAUCCUGGCAAUGAUUAUCAAAAUCUAGAACCCCAGGUAUAAAAGCUAUCUCUCAGUAAGCAGUAUUCUGGGAUUUCAAAUACAAGGCCCAUAGAUCCUCAAUCCACACAGUUUUUGAAAUUCAAAAUUAGGUACCACGUUUUAAUACCUUAUCAAAAUUUUUGAUACCAAAACCUAAUUUACAACAUAUAAAAUUUUCUCUUGUGGGGGUGCUGUUAUCAAGACACAAUACCCUAGCUAAAUAAACAUUUAGUUUGGUUAACCACACAGAGGACAUAAUAAAUUAAUUUCCCAAUUGCUAUUCCAUGCUGUUGACAAAAUUAUCAGUUUGGUCUUUAAGGCAAACCACUAUCUGUUGAAAUUUAUAGUUUGUUUCCUGAAAUCAAGAAUUUCAGUCCAAAAUUUUCCUUUAGUGGUGGGAUGGUUAAACAAGUAUAUUUCACACCAGCAAUUACAUUCGUGAAAUAUUUUUAAAUAUUGGUGGUUCUGACAUGGUAAAAGUCGUUACAAUGUAUUUUUUCUAAUUUUGGCUCUGAACAAUCAAUUAAUGGCAGCCUAAAAUGCGGCUGUAACCCAGUUUAGAACUUUCCAAGAAUCCUCCCAUUGGAGCCAGAGGAAGCAGCCUAAUGUAGCAAAUGAGAACUUCUGAGUCCAGAGCGGGGCAAGCUCCAGUCUGCCAAUAGCCUUGCCAAGAGAGCUGGAGGAAGUGGGGGAGUCACGUAAUGGCCUACCUCCUCUUUCCCAAAACAGGAGCCACAUACCAACCUCUCAGCAGGGUGGGUUGGGGCCACAAGACUUAGGGCCUACCUCUCCUCGGUGGCCAAUGACAUUUAAAGAAAACAGUUGACUGCGUCUGUGAAGAUGUCAUAACGUGGAGCUUCCCUGGGAGAAAAUAAUUUGGGAAGGGAGGGAGACAUUACUGAUAUCUUUAAAACACAGAGUGUUCAAAAUGAGAGAACCACGUGCUUCUCUCCAUACCACUGGGGUGGUUUUGGUGCCCGUCUUUGGUGUGCACUGUGGGUCUUUGUGGGGCCUGUAGUAACAACUCAUGAUUCAUCAACUACAAGUUACCAUCACAAUUUCCAAGUCAUUGGGAAGUAUUUCAUCCCCCAGAGCGGCAAUUUUCUCCAUCAGCAAGAGAAUCAAAAGGAAGUGGGAACAUCUGGCUCGAUAUGAAAGCCUGAGAGUGCCCCGACAUACACAGGCUCCGGAGAAGUCGGCCCCUUGCAGAUACUGGAAAGCAAAGCUCAGUCUACCUUCGCCAGCCACAGUUUCCAGCAUCGCUUCCAAAAAUCAAUGUCGUAUAUUUUCUGGCGGACCCACUUCUAAGUGAUUGGAUUCUAGCACACUCCAAUCAAGCAUCAGCUUUGGUUCUUAUGACGCAGUCACUAACAUCACACACGACCAAAACAGCAGGGCGCUCUCUCAAGUCUCCUCUUACUGUGCCAUCGUGGGGAACAGUCUCAUGAGACAGAGACAGUGUGUACCAUUUUAUAAUCUGAGAGCUCUGCGUCUUCUAAGACCUGAGGAAGGUCAUCCCAGCUUUCUGUCAGGAAAGGAAACAGCACUUCUCAAAAAAUAGAAAGGUAACAUGUUCACCUAGUGCUCCAGCACCUCAUCCAUUCUGGGGAUGCUGUAGCUGCC